ACGGAAACGGGGUUGGUUGCCGGUGGCUUUUCAUGCCCGGCAGAAAGGCUGUUUGUUGCAUUCGUUAAGCACGGCCCCUGCGACGAGGCCUUAAUGCCCCAGUGGGCAGAGCUGCCCGGCUGUGCGACGGACUCAGAGGCUGGGGCCCCAAACUCACGACUAAUGGCAGAAUCUGAAGAACCACACAAUGCGUUAUGAACACAUUGAGCAGAGCAUCUCAUCUCAGCAGUCAACUCAUUGUAGGAGGACAAGAAGAUCUGGGAUCAUCUCCUUCCAACCUACGAGCACCAGCGAAGCUCUCUUCAAGCAUAAUCCCAUUGACAGAGU